rnacentral:rRNA from 1 species
CUGCUAUCGAAGUGGGACUAAGCCAUGCUAGUCGAACGUUCCUUAAUUAUGUUAGGAGCGUGGCGUACGGCUCAGUAACACGUUGUUAACCUACCCUGAAGACGUGGAUAACCCCGGGAAACUGGGACUAACCCACGAUAGAUCAAAGUACCUGGAACGGACAUUGAUCUAAAGGAAGGAUGAGCAUGUUCAUCUGUUUGCUUUAGGAUGGGACUGCGUCCGAUCAGGUUGUUGGUGGAGUAAAAGCCCACCAAGCCUAUAACCGGUACGGGCUUUGAGAGAAGGAGCCCGGAGAUGGACACUGAGACAAGGGUCCAGGUCCUACGGGGCGCAGCAGGCGCGAAACCUUCGCAAUGCACGAAAGUGCGACGAGGCUACUUCGAGUGUCGUCCGCUGAGGAUGACUUUUGCCAAGUUUAAAACGCUUGGAGAAUAAGGGGAGGGCAAGUCUGGUGUCAGCCGCCGCGGUAAUACCAGCUCCUCGAGUGGUCGGGACGAUUAUUGGGCCUAAAGCAUCCGUAGCCUGCUCCGUAGGUCUUCUGUUAAAUUCAACGGCUUAACCGUUGAGCCGCAGGAGAUACCACGGGGCUAGGAGGCGGGAGAGGUAGACGGUACUCCAUGGGUAGGGGUAAAAUCCUCUGAUCCAUGGAAGACCACCAGUGGCGAAGGCGGUCUACCAGAACGCGCUCGACGGUGAGGGAUGAAAGCUGGGGGAGCGAACCGGAUUAGAUACCCGGGUAGUCCCAGCUGUAAACGAUGCGAGCUAGGUGAUGGAAUGGUUUCGAACCACUCCAGUGCCGCAGGGAAGUCGUUAAGCUCGCCGCCUGGGGAGUACGGUCGCAAGACUGAAACUUAAAGGAAUUGGCGGGGGAGCACCACAAGGGGUGAAGCCUGCGGUUCAAUG